rnacentral:lncRNA from 1 species
AAAGAAAAUUGGGAAUCAAUCCACCUCAUGACCCAGCUAUAUCACUCAUGGGAAUAUGCCCAAAGGAUUCCACACCCUAGACCAGAGACAUUGCUGAUCCUAAUCUAUAGACAUUAUUCAUGGGUGCUCUAUUCAUAAUAGCAAGAAAUUGGAAACAUCCUAGAUGUCCAUCUGUGGUUGUUUAAAAGAAAAUGACCACCAAAAGAAAUGACACUAUUAAAAGUUGUGGUUUUGUUGGGGUAGGUGUGGCCUUGCUGGAGGAAGUGUCUCACUGUGGGGGUGGGCUCUGAGGUCUCAUAUAUGUUCAACACACCCAGUUUCUCAGAUCACUUCCUGUUGCUUGCAAGAUAAGAUGUAAGACCCUCAUUCACUUCUCCAGCACCAUAUCUGCCAGCAUGUUGCCAUGCUUCCUGCCAUGAUGAUAAUGGACUAAACCUCUGAAACUGUGAAGGGUGACAGCUACCCACUUGCUAUGCUUGGUAUGUGUCAAUACAAUAAUGAAGAAGGCAUUGAUUACCCCCUCUCAUGAAUCUUUCACCUUCCAAUAUGAACAGAAGAUCAAUGGCUCUCCAUGCCAGAUUGGGAUGGUUGAAGCAUCCAGUAUCAUGGACUGUCUCUCCAGGCUGAAGAUAACCAUUGUUUGUUUACCAACCUCAUAUUAUGUAAUCCAACACAAUAAAUCCAUUUUAAAUUAAAAGUUAAA